CCUACGGGUGGCAGCAGUCGAGAAUCAUUCACAAUGGGGGAAACCCUGAUGGUGCGACGCCGCGUGUGGGAAGACGGUCCUCUGGAUUGUAAACCACUGUCCCCAGGGACGAAGAUGACGGUACCUGGGGAGGAAGCUCCGGCUAACUACGUGCCAGCAGCCGCGGUAAUACGUAGGGAGCGAGCGUUGUCCGGAAUUACUGGGUGUAACGGGAGCGUAGGCGGGACUGCAAGUUGGGUGUCAAAUCUACCGGCUCAACCGGUAGCCGCACUCAAAACUGCAGUUCUUGAGUGAAGUAGAGGCAGGCGGAAUUCCUAGUGUAGCGGUGAAAUGCGUAGAUAUUAGGAGGAACACCAGUGGCGAAGGCGGCCUGCUGGGCUUUUACUGACGCUGAGGCUCGAAAGUGUGGGGAGCAAACAGGAUUAGAUACCCGAGUAGUC
rnacentral:rRNA from 1 species